GGCGCACGGGUGAGUAACACGUAAGUAAUCUACCUUCGAGUGGGGAAUAACCCGGGGAAACCCGAGCUAAUACCGCAUAAUGCAGCGGCAUCGCAAGAUGACAGUUGUUAAAGGAUUUAUUCGCUUGAAGAGGAGCUUGCGGCAGAUUAGCUUGUUGGUAAGGUAACGGCUUACCAAGGCUACGAUCUGUAUCCGGUCUAAGAGGACGGUCGGACACACUGACACUGAAUAACGGGUCAGACUCCUACGGGAGGCAGCAGUCGGGAAUUUUGGGCAAUGGGCGAAAGCCUGACCCAGCAACGCCGCGUGAAGGAUGAAGUAUUUCGGUAUGUAAACUUCGAAAGAAUAGGAAGAAUAAAUGACGGUACUAUUUAUAAGCUCCGGCUAACUACGUGCCAGCAGCCGCGGUAAUACGUAGGGAGCAAGCGUUGUUCGGAUUUACUGGGCGUAAAGGGCGCGUAGGCGGCGCGGUAAGUCACUUGUGAAAUCUCUGAGCUUAACUCAGAACGGCCAAGUGAUACUGCAGUGCUAGAGUGCAGAAGGGGCAAUCGGAAUUCUUGGUGUAGCGGUGAAAUGCGUAGAUAUCAAGAGGAACACCUGAGGUGAAGACGGGUUGCUGGGCUGACACUGACGCUGAGGCGCGAAAGCCAGGGGAGCAAACGGGAUUAGAUACCCCGGUAGUCCUGGCCCUAAACGAUGAAUACUUGGUGUCUGGAGUCAUUAUUGCUCCGGGUGCCGUCGCUAACGUUUUAAGUAUUCCGCCUGGGGAGUACGCUCGCAAGAGUGAAACUCAAGGAAUUGACGGGGACCCGCGCAAGCGGUGGAUGAUGUGGUUUAAUUCGAUGCACGCGAAAAACCUUACCCACCUUUGACAUGUACGGAAUUUGCCGAAAUGGCUUAGUGCUCGAAGAAAGCCGUAACCACAGUGCUGCAUGGCUGUCGUCAGCUCGUGUCGUGAGAUGUGGUUAAGUCCCGUCAACGAGCGCAACCCUUGUCAUAUGUGCCUACAUUCAGUUUGGCACUCUUAAUG
rnacentral:rRNA from 1 species